AAGUCGUAACAAGGUUUCCGUAGGUGAACCUGCGGAAGGAUCAUUAAUGAAUUUUAAGGGAAUUGAUGCUGGUCCUUUGUUGGACAUGUGCUCGUUCUCUCUUAAUCCUUAACACACCUGUGCACUUGUUAUAUCAGAGUCGAGGGGAGAAAUCCUUUUAGCUCUGCUUUAAUCAACAUACUCUUAUUAUUAACUUUGAAUGUUUAUCAAGUCGAAAGGCUUUUAAAUUAAUACAACUUUUAACAACGGAUCUCUUGGCUCUC
rnacentral:misc_RNA from 1 species